GCUCUGUCAGUAGAGCGUCGCAUUCCCAUGCAAAAGGUCGUUGGUUCGAGCCC
rnacentral:tRNA from 1 species